AAUCUGUGGUGCGAGCAUUUUUGAAUGAACAUUUUGAAAUGUUCCCACACCUCAUAAUAACUUUCUUCCUCCAUCUGUCUAAAUACAACAAUCUCUCUUCUUAGUUA
rfam:Gossypium raimondii Chr06_contig_420, whole genome shotgun sequence.